UCUCCUGGAAACGGGUGGUAAUGCCGGAUGCUCCAGUUGACCGCAUGGUCCUCUGGGAAAGAUUUUGCGGUAUGGGAUGGGGUCGCGUCCUAUCAGCUUGAUGGCGGGGUAACGGCCCACCAUGGCUUCGACGGGUAGCCGGCCUGAGAGGGCGACCGGCCACAUUGGGACUGAGAUACGGCCCAGACUCCUACGGGAGGCAGCAGUGGGGAAUAUUGCACAAUGGGCGCAAGCCUGAUGCAGCGACGCCGCGUGCGGGAUGACGGCCUUCGGGUUGUAAACCGCUUUUGACUGGGAGCAAGCCCUUCGGGGUGAGUGUACCUUUCGAAUAAGCACCGGCUAACUACGUGCCAGCAGCCGCGGUAAUACGUAGGGUGCAAGCGUUAUCCGGAAUUAUUGGGCGUAAAGGGCUCGUAGGCGGUUCGUCGCGUCCGGUGUGAAAGUCCAUCGCUUAACGGUGGAUCCGCGCCGGGUACGGGCGGGCUUGAGUGCGGUAGGGGAGACUGGAAUUCCCGGUGUAACGGUGGAAUGUGUAGAUAUCGGGAAGAACACCA
rnacentral:rRNA from 1 species